ensembl:misc_RNA 7SK 7SK RNA
GAGUGGAAGUCUGUGUCACCACACUGAUUGCCAGGUUGAUUCAGCUGAGCUCGCUGGCUAGGUGAGUGUCCCCUUCCUCCCUUACUGCUCCUGGGAGUCCUUCCUGAAGCUGUGGCUCAGUCCCACAGAACAACCACUUCCAGUAGAGAAGGACCAUUCUUUGGUCAAGGGUAUUUGAGUAGCAAGGCUCCCCUGCUAGAACCUCCAAACAAGCUCACUAGAAGUGCCUCUACUGUGCAGGCUUUUAUUUAAAUCAUAUAUAAUAAAGCUGAGGCUGCUCAUU